UAAAAGGAUUUAUCCACCUUAGGAAGAGCUCGCGCCUGAUUAGCUAGUUGGUGGGGUAAAGGCCCACCAAGGCCAUGAUCAGUAGCUGGUUUGAGAGGACGAUCAGCCACACUGGGACUGAGACACGGCCCAGACUCCUACGGGAGGCAGCAGUGGGGAAUUUUCCGCAAUGGGCGAAAGCCUGACGGAGCAAUACCGCGUGAGGGAUGAAAGCCUGUGGGUUGUAAACCUCUUUUCUCAAGGAAGAAGUUCUGACGGUACUUGAGGAAUAAGCAUCGGCUAACUCUGUGCCAGCAGCCGCGGUAAUACAGAGGAUGCAAGCGUUAUCCGGAAUCACUGGGCAUAAAGCGUCUGUAGGUGGUUUAAUAAGUCUGCUGUUAAAGACUAGGGCUUAACCCUAGGAAAGCAGUGGAAACUGUUAGACUUGAGUAUGGUAGAGGUACAGGGAAUUCCUAGUGUAGCGGUGAAAUGCGUAGAUAUUAGGAAGAACACCAAUGGCGAAAGCACUGUACUGGGCCACAACUGACACUGAGAGACGACAGCUAGGGGAGCAAAUGGGAUUAGAUACCCCAGUAGUCCUAGCCGUAAACGAUGGAUACUAGGUGUAGCUUGUAUCGACCCAAGCUGUGCCGUAGCUAACGCGUUAAGUAUCCCGCCUGGGGAGUACGCGCGCAAGCGUGAAACUCAAAGGAAUUGACGGGGGCCCGCACAAGCGGUGGAGUAUGUGGUUUAAUUCGAUGCAACGCGAAGAACCUUACCAAGGCUUGACAUAUACCGGAAACGGCCAGAGAUGGUCGCCCCGCAAGGUCGGUAUACAGGUGGUGCAUGGUUGUCGUCAGCUCGUGUCGUGAGAUGUUGGGUUAAGUCCCGCAACGAGCGUAACCCUUAUUUUUAGUUGCCAUCAUUUAGUUGGGCACUUUAAAAAGACUGCCGGUGAUAAACCGGAGGAAGGUGAGGACGACGUCAAGUCAGCAUGCCCCUUACGCCCUGGGCUACACACGUACUACAAUGGUCGAGACAAAGAGUCGCAAGUCUGCGAAGGCAAGCUAAUCUCAUAAACUCGAUCUCAGUUCGGAUUGCAGGCUGCAACUCGCCUGCAUGAAGGCGGAAUCGCUAGUAAUCGCAGGUCAGCACUACUGCGGUGAAUACGUUCCCGGGCCUUGUACACACCGCCCGUCACACCAUGGAAGUUGGCCACGCCCGAAGUCGUUACCCUAACCAUUCGUGGAGGGGGAUGCCGAAGGCAGGGCUGAUGACUGGGGUGAAG
rnacentral:rRNA from 1 species